CAUCCUUGUGAAACGGGAACCUACGAGGUAGGGAAUCUCGGCAGCAUCGAUGCCUUGGUGGAAGACUGAACAAGAGCGGACUCAAUGGAUACGACCCUAAGAGAGGAAGUGCGAAACUUUGAUAAAUUCCAUGAUUGUCAUGUACUCAUACAACGAAUUCUUCCAAUUGGAAUGCGUGGAUUUGUGGAUAAGGAAAUUAGCAUAGCACUAUUUGAAUUAGGUACCUUUUUCCAAGACUUGUGCUCUAGGACAGUGACACGAAGUAAACUUGAACAAUUAGAGGAGCGUGCGAUCCAUAUCUUGUGCAAGCUUGAAAAAAUAUUUCCACCAGCCUUCUUUGAUGUGAUGGUCCACUUAAUAAUUCACUUACCGCAUGAGGCUAUUCUCGGAGGACCGGUGCAUUAUCGGUGGAUGUACCCGAUUGAACGUUAAAUGCACUGAGG